UACGGGGGGAGCAAGCGUUGUUCGGAUUUACUGGGCGUAAAGGGCGCGUAGGCGGCCACCGCAAGUCGGUUGUGAAAUCUCCGGGCUUAACCCGGAAAGGUCAAUCGAUACUGCGGGGCUAGAGUGCAGAAGGGGCAACUGGAAUUCUCGGUGUAGCGGUGAAAUGCGUAGAUAUCGAGAGGAACACCUGCGGCGAAGGCGGGCUGCUGGGCUGACACUGACGCUGAAGCGCGAAAGCUAGGGGAGCGAACGGG
rnacentral:rRNA from 1 species